UACGGAGGGUGCGAGCGUUAUCCGGAUUUACUGGGUUUAAAGGGUGUGUAGGCGGAUUAUUAAGUCAGUGGUGAAAUCCCGGGGCUCAACCCCGGAACUGCCAUUGAUACUAUUAGUCUUGAAUACUGUGGAGGUGAGCGGAAUGUGUCAUGUAGCGGUGAAAUGCUUAGAGAUGACACAGAACACCGAUUGCGAAGGCAGCUCACUACGCAGUUAUUGACGCUGAGGCACGAAAGCGUGGGGAU
rnacentral:rRNA from 1 species